AGAGGCAGGAGAGUAGAACCACCCUGACACCAGGCUAGAAGACCAGGUCUGUAUUGGUCAGACUAGAACCACCCUGACACCAGGCUAGAAGACCAGGUCUGUAUUGGUCAGACUAGAACCACCCUGACACCAGGCUAGAAGACGAGGUCUGUAUUGGUCAGACUAGAACCACCCUGACAACAGGUCUGUUUUAGUCAGACUAGAACCACCCUGACACCAGGUCUGUAUUGGUCAGACUAGAACCACCUUGACACCAGGUCUGUAUUGGUCAGACUAGAACCACCCUGACACCAGGCUAGAAGACCAGGUCUGUAUUGGUCAGACUAGAACCACCCUGACACCAGGCUAGAAGACCAGGUCUGUUUUGGUCAGACUAGAACCACCCUGACACCAGGCUAGAAGACCAGGUCUGUGUUGGUCAGACUAGAACCACCCUGACACCAGGCUAGAAGACCAGGUCUGUUUUGGUCAGACUAGAACCACCCUGACACCAGGCUAGAAGACCAGGUCUGUGUUGGUCAGACUAGAACCACCCUGACACCAGGCUAGAAGACCAGGUCUGUUUUGGUCAGACUGUUCAAACAUUUACCAAGGCAUUAAUUAACUUGAUUUACACAGUUAAAAACUAAGUAGCUCUAUUUUGAAUGUUGUAUUGAUCUUUGUGUUAUUGAUUAGAUUUGAUACGUAUGACUGACUAUGUGUCUCAAUCAAACUGUUUUACUGUGCGUCUAUUAGCCAAUUUAGCUUUAAAAACAUUCUAUUGAAAGAACAAUCAACUUCAUUUCUGUUACAGUAAUGAUUGUAUGUCACAAUCUAGCUCUUUACAAAUAAAUGUGUUUUCUUCUGUUCA